UACGUGUGAACAUUAACGUUGAAAUGAUUGGACUAUAAUCUACGAAGAUGGAAAACAAGCGAGUGGAAAAACAUGAUCUAUGUCUUGUGGUUUGUGAAUGAUCAGGUCGAACGUACUGAAUGAAUUUUUCAUAUGA